rnacentral:misc_RNA from 1 species
GUUUAUUGAAUAUAUCAAAUAUAUUACAAUGAAAAGAUUGAAUUUAUCCACCCCACCCCACUACAGGCUUUCACCCUCAUCCCCUUCCUGAACUUCUUUUAGAAAAGUAAACACCAAACCAUAACCAUUUCUAUAAUAAACUCAUGACCUUUUCCUUUCAAAUUCAAGAAAAUGUAUACAUAAAGUCAUAAACUGAAUUGUAAAAAUCAGUGAGUUGUAGGAAUCUUGUAUUAUUAUCUUGUACAGCAGAAGAAAAAGAGAAGGCAUAUGGUAAGGCAACAUUAUAAUAACUACAUAUUUGUGAAUGUUAAAAUCAUAUUACUUGAGUUUUAUACUUGCCCAUUUCAGGUACCCAGAUGAUUAUUCUG